CACAUGCAGUCGAGGGGUAUUGGUUUUCGGACCAAGAGACCGGCGCACGGGUGCGGUAACGCGUAUCGCAUCUACCUUUCACAGAGGGAUAGCCCAGAGAAAUUUGGAUUAAUACCUCAUAGUAUUAUAGUAUGGCAUCAUAUUAUAAUUAAAGUCACAACGGUGAAAGAUGAGCAUGCGUCCCAUUAGCUAGUUGGUAAGGUAACGGCUUACCAAGGCAACGAUGGGUAGGGGUCCUGAGAGGGAGAUCCCCCACACUGGUACUGAGACACGGACCAGACUCCUACGGGAGGCAGCAGUGAGGAAUAUUGGUCAAUGGACGCAAGUCUGAACCAGCCAUGCCGCGUGCAGGAUGACGGUCCUAUGGAUUGUAAACUGCUUUUGCACAGGAAGAAACAACAUUACGUGUAAUGUCUUGACGGUACUGUGAGAAUAAGGAUCGGCUAACUCCGUGCCAGCAGCCGCGGUAAUACGGAGGAUCCAAGCGUUAUCCGGAAUCAUUGGGUUUAAAGGGUCCGUAGGCGGUUUAGUAAGUCAGUGGUGAAAGCCCAUCGCUCAACGGUGGAACGGCCAUUGAUACUGCUAGACUUGAAUUAUUAGGAAGUAACU
rnacentral:rRNA from 1 species